GAGGGUGUAGCUCAAGAGGCAGAGCGCAUGCUUAGCAUGCACGAGGUCCUGGGCUCAAUUCCCAGUACCCCCU
rnacentral:tRNA from 1 species